GACGAACGCUGGCGGCGUGCUUAACACAUGCAAGUCGAGCGGUAAGGCCCUUUCGGGGGUACACGAGCGGCGAACGGGUGAGUAACACGUGGGUGACCUGCCCUCAGCUCUGGGAUAAGCCUGGGAAACCGGGUCUAAUACUGGAUAUGACUCCAUGACGCAUGUUGUGGGGUGGAAAGCCUUGUGCGGCUGAGGAUGGGCCCGCGGCCUAUCAGCUUGUUGGUGGGGUGANGGCCUACCAAGGCGACGACGGGUAGCCGGCCUGAGAGGGCGACCGGCCACACUGGGACUGAGACACGGCCCAGACUCCUACGGGAGGCAGCAGUGGGGAAUCUUGCGCAAUGGGCGAAAGCCUGACGCAGCGACGCCGCGUGAGGGAUGACGGCCUCGGUUGU
rnacentral:rRNA from 1 species